rnacentral:rRNA from 1 species
GAUGAACGCUGGCGGCGUGCUUAACACAUGCAAGUCGAACGGAAAGGCCACAGCUUGCUGUGGUACUCGAGUGGCGAACGGGUGAGUAACACGUGGGUGAUCUGCCCUUUACUUCGGGAUAAGCUUGGGAAACUGGGUCUAAUACCGGAUAGGAAUCCCAUGUGGGUGGGGGGGUGGGAAGCUUUUGCGGUGUGGGGUGAGCUCGCGGCCUAUCAGCUUGUUGGGGGGGUAAUGGCUUACCAAGGCGUCGACGGGUAGCCGGCCUGAGAGGGUGUCCGGCCACAUUGGGACUGAGAUACGGCCCAGACUCCUACGGGAGGCAGCAGUGGGGAAUAUUGCACAAUGGGCGGAAGCCUGAUGCAGCGACGCCGCGUGGGGGAUGACGGCCUUCGGGUUGUAAACUCCUUUCGUCAGGGACGAAGCGAAAGUGACGGUAACUGGAUAAGAAGCACCGGCUAACUACGUG